UGUAUCUGAAGCCUGACGAGGAUGAGAACCUCCGGGGGCAAGAGGUUCGACUCGAGCGAAGCGAGAGAACGUUGCGUCAGCAACGGCCCGCAGGGCGAGC
rnacentral:sRNA from 1 species